UGGGUUAGUACUCUUUGAGGUGGUCCAUUUGAAAUAUAUUGAGUUUAUCUUUUUUGGGUAAAUUAAAAUAUGUUGAGGUAAUGCUAUCUUGACAUACACGUGUUGUGUACUUUGUAUGAAGUUAUCUAACAUGUCACUGGAAUCAAUCUGAUCAAAUAUGGAGCACUGGACUCUAUUUUUUAUUUCUAUAUUUUAUUAAUUUAUUGUACCCCUUUAAAAAAUAAUAAACAUUAAUAUUAUGCAGUCCCAGCUCAUUAGAAUUUUCUUAUGGGUUUGUAUACUUUGGUAACGGUUCAAUUUCAAACAAAUUGCUUGUAGACCCUUAACCCUCCGAUGUCAACCAUGGUUGCUUCAGGUGUAUAAUCUAUGGUUGAGGAUCUAUAAGCAUAUUAUUUGAAAUGCAAAAGCCAUCAUGCCAUUCUCUC
rnacentral:lncRNA from 1 species